GUUGUGGAAGUUCAGAACUUCUGCUUUUUCCAAGUGUGAAAAAUCUAAAUAACGUGACUGUUGCCUCCUUUCAGUUCCCACUUUACUGCUGAGCUGCACAGGAUAUCAAGCUCGUCUGAUCGUGAGUCCCAACAGCUCUGAUUUCUCUGAGGGAGAUGUUGUUACUCUAAUCUGUGAGGAGGACCAAAGCUCUUCUGAUUGGACUGUGAGGAGAAACACAAGCAAACUGCAGAGGGCUGAGUGUGGAGAUGGGAGGGUGAAAAAGAAACAUGAUCAAUCAUGUUCAAUCAGUACGCUGGUGCCUCACGACACCGGAGUUUACUGGUGUGAGUCCAGUAAUGGUGCCAUCAGUAACCUGGUUAAUAUCACAGUCACUGGUCACACAGGAGGAUCUGUUGGACUGAAGGUCAGCCUGUCAGUUCCUGCUGUGCUUCUUGUUGCUGCUGUUUUCUUGAUGUAGAGAAAACAAAAACAACAAAGAAUCAGGAUCCAGCCUCAUGUUGAGCUGCAGCAAAAUAAAAUGUCUGAAUCUUUUUAAAUCAGCACUCUUAGUCUCCCGCUGGUGGUUUCAGCGUUGUCAGUGAACCUGGGGAACAUGAGAUGAUGCUGGUAACAGAAA